UACGAGGGGGGCAAGCGUUGUUCGGAAUUAUUGGGCGUAAAGGGUGCGUAGGCGGUGCGGUAAGUCUGUUGUGAAAUCUCCGGGCUCAACUCGGAGUCUGCAUCAGAAACUGCCGUGCUGGAGUGUGGGAGAGGUGAGUGGAAUUCCCGGUGUAGCGGUGAAAUGCGUAGAGAUCGGGAGGAACACCUGCGGCGAAGGCGGGUCUCUGGGCCAUUACUGACGCUGAGGAGCGAAAGCGUGGGGAGCGAACAGG
rnacentral:rRNA from 1 species